GGGGUUGUGGCUCAGUGGUAAGGUACUUGCCUCACAAGUGAGAGGCACUGAGUUCAAUCCUCAGCACCA
rnacentral:tRNA from 1 species